UACGUAGGGUGCAAGCGUUACUCGGAAUUACUGGGCGUAAAGCGUGCGUAGGUGGUUUGUUAAGUCUGAUGUGAAAGCCCUGGGCUCAACCUGGGAAUUGCAUUGGAUACUGGCAGGCUAGAGUGCGGUAGAGGAUGGCGGAAUUCCCGGUGUAGCAGUGAAAUGCGUAGAGAUCGGGAGGAACAUCCGUGGCGAAGGCGGCCAUCUGGACCAGCACUGACACUGAGGCACGAAAGCGUGGGGAGCAAACAGG
rnacentral:rRNA from 1 species